rnacentral:rRNA from 1 species
CAGGACGAACGCUGCGGCGUGCUUCAUACAUGCAAGUCGAACGAGAAAUUCACUUCGGUGGAUGGAAAGUGGCGGACGGGUGAGUAAUGUGUAGAGAAUCUGCCCUAGAGUGGGGGACAACAGUUGGAAACGACUGCUAAUACCCCAUAUGCGCGUAGUUGAGAUACUAUUCGUGAAAACUCCGGUGCUCUGGGAUGAGUCUGCAUCUGAUUAGCUAGUUGGGGGUGUAAUGGACCACCAAGGCGACGAUCAGUAGCUGGUUUGAGAGGAUGAUCAGCCACAAUGGGACUGAGACACGGCCCAUACUCCUACGGGAGGCAGCAGUAGGGAAUUUUGCGCAAUGGGGGAAACCCUGAACCGCAGCAACGCCGCGUGACCGAUUAAGCCCUUCGGGGUGUAAAGGUCUGUCAGUGGGGACGAAACCUGACGGUACCCACAGAGGAAGCAUCGGCUAACUCCGUGCCAGCAGCCGC